ensembl:lncRNA
CAGGGCUGUUGGCACAGGGGUUUCUGUAACAAUGAAAUCCACAAGACUGGCAUUUGGAUUAUUAUUUUUAUUGCUUCUAAUCAGAAAUUGUUACACAGGGCUUAAAGAAACAAAUAAUAGGAUGCAAGAACCCUUCUGCAAGGUGGAGGAUGAUGAGUGUUGCUUGAAGGUAAUGGCAUCGAGAUGCCCUUGCAAAGAUGCUCCUGUGCUUGGCUUUGGAGACUUGCAGGAGGCAACCAUGGAACCUGGACCAUGCAUCCAAUAAGGAGGAGGGGAUGCUCAAUGCUCCUGUGAUCUCAAGCCUCUUGGCCAUGCCUCCUGUGGGACACAGAAGCUGUUUCCCUAUGGGAACAGUUUGCCCUGGUGCUUGUUGGCAAUUGUGCUGAACCUCUUGUGACUGCACCUUUGGUGCUUUGGGUGUAAGGCAGAGACAAGUGAGGUCUGAUGUUGUGGAGCUCACGCUUGGACCAAAGCAUCUCCUUUUUCUAGCAGGAGAAGGUGGCGAGCUUCCGUGCUAGGUCUUGAUGGAGGCUGGGGUGGCGUGAUGGUGGCUUGUGGUGUGGGGUCGAGUGUAAGGACCAUGAGGUUUGAGCAUCGCUAAUGGGCACGACCAGCUGAACUUAGCGUGAGAAGGGGAGGAUAACCCCAAUAAGCUCACAACAGGGGGGUCAUUCCUGGGGUGUGGGGAGAGAUGCUUCUUGGUUUAGAAGAAAAGAAGAAAAAAGCCCCGAGAACAGCACUGAGCUGAGACAGCCACUUAUGCAAGAGCUGGCAGUGGGGCUGGCCGCACCGAAAGGCAGCGGGUGCCAGCAGGGCGCGAGUGGCUCUGCAUCCUCCUGUUUGCUCAGCAGCUUUCGUGUGGCGGGGGAGCUGGGUUGAGGGCACGAGAUUCCUGCACACUGAACUCCUCUGUUCCUCUCAGCAGGGUAAACAGGACAAAAAACAAAGCCCCAAGCCAGCGCCCGCCUCCAAGGUAGCCUCCUGCCAGCCACCCUGGGGUGCGCGGAGGUGAUGGGGUCACCUUCAGCCUCUCCAGGAUGAUUUCUGGAUGCUAUUUCCCUGGGUAAGUGAGUGUUGUUCCUGGUGAGGAGCGGGCAGGACAAAUGGGGCAAAGCACCCCAGCGAGUAUGGAUGUGGAUCAGCUGCCCAGCCCUGCAUCCUUGGUGAGCUGAGGAUGGGUGUUCCCAUGGUGAGCCCAGGCUGUGGGCUGUGCAGAUGCUGGUCAGGUUGAGUGUCCCCUGUGAGGGUUGUAGGUGUCCCAGCAGUGCUGAGCCCUAUUAUAGGUACCACGAGGUGCAGGGAGCGAGGAGAGGUGAGUACUGCUCCUCUCUGCAAUGAGCUCUGCAUCAUUUUGCUCAGAAAGCUGCUCUUUAGCUGUAGUUCCCCUCUGGGGCAAGAUCCAAGCUCUCUUGUCCAUGUCAGUGACAGAGGGUGAUGGGGCUGACCUCAGCCCUUUCCCAACGUGGUAUUAGCUAAUCCAGCUCCCCAGCGACGCAGCUGUGGGGCUGGUCCAUUGCCAGCCCCAGCCCAUGCCAGCUCUCCUGCAUUUCCACAGAACUGUGAUUGCACCACUGCAGCCUUGCUCAGAGCAAGGUGAGAAGGAAGGAAGUUUGAAACACUAGAGAGUUUCCUUUCAAAUGGGAUUUGCAUCAAAGAAGCCCGUAUUUAGCUUGAUGCAGCUUGGUUUGCUGUAGGGCUGCCAGGAAAUGUUAAAGCAGCACGGUGGGAAGGUUGUUUUGGUGCUGCACAUCUGUCCUGUGUUGUCUGUCCUGGUCGCCCAUGGAGCCGUAUGAGAGCCGGGGUGCACUGGCCUGGAGUAGGGGAGGGAUGUGGGGGGCUGAGGAGUGACAUGCCUGAGCAGCAGCGGGUGCUGAGCUCCUCUGUACCCAUCGGGAUCUCAGGAGGAGGAGUCAAGUCUUGGGGCCGCUACCCAAACCUCUCUGCCUGGGGUUUGGUGAGAGCUGGCUUUCUCUGGGGAUUCCCACCCCAGGCUUGAUGGGUUGGAAAUACUGCAAGAGCAGCCCUUUUUUGUUGUUGUUUUUGUUUUUAUUCUCCUGAUGUUUGUGUCUUUCCACUUCCGUCCCUGGCCAAAGCAUGUGAUGCCAAGGCAAAAGAGGCAGGCACACCCAGCAGGGUAGGGGGAGGAGAGGGGUGCAAGUGCCUUUAACCCACAGGAAAAGGGAAACAGAAGGGAAAACCCAUAGCUGGCACCAAGGAGGCUUAAGCCAUGGUCUGUUCUGUCCAGACACAGGGAGUGACGUGGUGACCACCAGAAUGCAGAGCCCCAGGGCUGUGCCUCGGCACCGCAUGGGACAUCACCAGGGGUCUCAUGGCACAGACCCCCCUCCCCUUCACCCUGCUUUGAGCUGCAAUAUGGUCACAAGCUGCCUUAGCAGGAAGGGAUCAAGCAUUCAAAAGCAGCGCGGGAUCAAAGCUUUCUAAACACUCGGGGCAUUUGGCUUGGGAGGUUUUGUUCCAUCUAUUUAUAGCGGUGGGGCCAAGCGAGUUCAGAGUUGGAGGCAAACUUUUCCGAAGCUGGGGGACGUUUGGAGCGGGAGGGGGAAAGGGAACUCGGCCAGGCCCAUCUUCAACAUGCAUUGACUCCUUCCCUUAGGUAUGUGUUGCUCUCCAUGACACACUAACAACAAGCCUGCAUAGCAGAGCCUGGCUGAGGCUGCAAGGAUUGAGGCAAAAAUGUGAAUUGGCUGGGAAUGGGAACAUGAAAUAAAGAGCUUCCAAACAGCAAAGACAUGGUGUUUGAAAGUGAAAAUUGUUUCCUUACCAACGUGCUUUCACCCUUGGGUCAACAUCCUUCAAUUAUAAGUAUGCUUGUGUUGUUUUCCAGGGGAAAGCUGGUGAGGAUUCCAGGGCAAAAUAAGGCUAAGGGUAUCCUGAAGCAUAUGCUAUGUUUAUAAAUGGAGGGGAGGGAUCUUCUCAUCUACAAGAAGAAAUUUUUGUGGUGUAAUUGAAGAACAUGUUGGUUUUCUGUGCUACACCCUGUAGGCAAAAUCAGGCUUUAACUGCAAGCAAGCAAACCAAUGAGCAUACAGGUGAGAUUGUGCAAUGUCCGCGCCAUCGCCCUUGCGGGGCAUGCAGGCAAUGGCUGGGAUUUUCCUGCAUCUACCAAGUGAGUGGUGCUGGCACUGGUUAAUACUGAGGGGCUGGGGAAGUAAUCCUUCGGGGAGUGCUGCAUGAUCUCCGAUGGUUUUAGAGAGAGAAUUCUGUGAGCUGGGAGGUAGGAGCGACAGCAGUGAUACAAAGCUCGUUGGGAUAGAACACGAGGUCUUUGAGCUAGAGGAGCAAUAACAUACAAUAAAGUAGGACUUUGAUGUCUGGAGGUGGCAGAGAAGAGUCACCACCUGAAUGCUGGCAUGCAAAAGGCAGAUGCACAUUUAGAAUAUCAGGUUGGAAAAGGCCACUAAAAUCAAGUCCGACUGCCAACCCAUCACCACCAUGCCCAUUAACUAUGGCCUUCCGUGCCACAUCUAUGUAUUUCUUGGGGAUUCUCGUGGUGGUGUCUCUCCGUUGACAUUAAAACCUCCAGCUCAGGACCCACCAAGAUGUCUGCUGGAACAGAGGGUGCAGAUCUGACCGUCCUUAUUCCAGAAAAUGUCAGCUGGGGGCGAGCACAUUGCAAAUGAAGGUGCAGGAGGCAUGAGGACAGGAGGUGAUUGUCCCUCAGCUUUCCAGCUUGGCAGCGGCAGGCGCUGAGCCCAGUUUCCACCCCUGCCAGGCAGAAGAAAAUGUUCUUCUCCUAUUUGCCUCCUAAUGAUGAUGGUGACGGUGCUCCUCUUGCAUUGUGUUUGUCCUUAAUGCUGAAAGACGGUUCUUGUGCUUGGUGCUAGUGUUCCCAGCCCUUGGCUUGGGCAGGGUAUGCCAGCCAACUGGACAACCAUUCGUUCCUCUGAGAGCCUGUCUGUUCUGCAAUUAACAGACAAAAUGCCCACCACUGUGGCUGGAAAAAAAAAAGUUUUAAUUAAAAUCCUUUGGUGUUGGCCUUGACCGGACUGGAGAGUGAACAGGAGGAGGGCAGGAGGCCCAGGUCAUGUCUUGGGCCACCCCAGCAGAGCAUCCCUGAGCUGGGGCUGAACACAGGGCAGGGCCUGGGUUUUAAUUGCUUUUUUUUCUUUUUUUCCUAUUUUCCCUUGGGUGACCCAUCCAAGGGAUGGUCACAAGCAGAUAGGAUACUGCCAACCGUCCUCAGGUCCUUUGUGUCUUAAUGAAGAGCCAUGAAUAGGAGUUCACAUCACACACAAACGAAGACACCUCACCCUUUUCCCUAAUGAGUGUCACUCUUAAAGUGCUUUUGUCAUGGGCUUUGCUUGGCUUGUAGAGGUGCCUGGGGCCCUGUCUCCUAGGCUGCUGUCACCUUCCCCAUCUCCCAUGGCCAGCAGGAAGGUGACAUGGCAGACACCGUUUCAGGACCAGUAAUGUGUGUGGUUCCCCAACUCCACUGCUACAGUUUCCUUCCUCUGGGGAAAGCCCAGGAAAUUCGUGGAAGCAUCACCAAAUAAGCCUCAGGAAGCAAGAAGGGUCUCCAUGUCAUCCUGCUUGCUUACGUGAUAGCCAGCUUUCUGGGCCUUUUUCUGUUCCCUCUGCUCAGGACAGAGUGAUGGAUUUUCUGGUUCUCAUGCUAGUAAGUAAGAAAGAUUAAUCAUAUCAUCACUAAGGUUGGAAGGGACUAUUAAGAUCAUCUAGUCUAACUCCAACCCAUCCCCAUCAUGCCCACUAAGCUACGUCCCUUGUGCAGCAUGGAGUGGCCAUCCAGCACUGUGGCAAGGGAAAGGGUUUUACUUUUCAUUUGGGCUCUGGCCUGGAGAAAUCACUGGUCUUAUACAAGUUUAAAAACAAAAAUAGAUCCUCUUCUGCUGCCGUUUAAAUGCUUCUCUCUUGCCUUAGGUUGUGAUUUUGUGCUGUGCAGUCUGGGCACCGCGGGAGCUCCUCAGCCCAUGCUGGUGAAGGAGGUGACAUCAAGGCAAACCGAGAGCUUGGUGGAUGGAUUUGGGAUGGAUUGCUGCAUGGCACAGCACGAGCCCAUCCCUCAGAGCCAGGACCAUUCCCUGUCGGUGGCAAUGUCCAACCCCCAUGAGUGGGAUAUGGCACGGAGGAUGGCAGCUCAGGGCAUGGCAGCAGCAGGGGCAUCCCAGAGGUGGUGCCAGGAGCUUAGAAACCCUUUCAAACCCACGGUGUAUGGUGAGGAGCAGUGCUGCCGGGACGAAGAAACUCAGACCCUCAUCUGCUGCAGCUUUCUUGCACCAGCUCUUCAUCUCCGUCCCAUGGAGGGGACCACAGUGGACCCACAGGGUGGCCCUGGGACCAGGUGGUGGACACGGGCGGAUGGACCCACCUUCCACACCCAGAGCUCAACUACCACCUCUAGAAGCCAAAAUGCAAAGAGGCGUUUGGCAGCCGAACGGUGAUUUGGGCAUGCGGGGGAAGAGGAGCACAACUUUGGGCAUCCCAACACGAGGGCUGAUAUUUGGCCCCUGGCCGGGAACACGGACCACCUCGCCAAGCUGCUGUUCCCAUUUGUCAUUCAGCGCUAAGGAAAUCUGCGCCAUUCUCUGUCAUCCUCCCCAUCCCGGAGGAUAAUUGAUGCUAACGUCAUUUCAGCUCGGUCCAGCUGCCAGGCUCAGGAACAGAUGUUUUAUUGUUCCAAUUGAGAACAAAAAAAAGCAAACCACCCCCCCCCC